rnacentral:rRNA from 1 species
GACGGAAGGUGCAAGCGUUGCUCGGAAUCACUGGGCGUAAAGGGUGCGUAGGCGGCCUGGUAAGUCUGGCGUGAAAGUCCAGGGCUCAACCCUGGGGAUGCCGGUGGAUACUGUCGGGCUCGAGUCCGGAAGAGGAGUGUGGAAUUCCUGGUGUAGCGGUGAAAUGCGUAGAUAUCGUAAGGAAGACCAGUGGCGAAGGCGGGUCUCUGGGACAGUUCCUGACGCUGAGGCACGAAGGCCAGGGGAGCAAACGGG